rnacentral:rRNA from 1 species
UACGAAGGGGGCUAGCGUUGCUCGGAAUCACUGGGCGUAAAGGGUGCGUAGGCGGGUCUUUAAGUCAGGGGUGAAAUCCUGGAGCUCAACUCCAGAACUGCCUUUGAUACUGAAGGUCUUGAGUUCGGGAGAGGUGAGUGGAACUGCGAGUGUAGAGGUGAAAUUCGUAGAUAUUCGCAAGAACACCAGUGGCGAAGGCGGCUCACUGGCCCGAUACUGACGCUGAGGUGCGAAAGCGUGGGGAGCAACAGGAUUAAGAUGACCCGGGUAGUCCCGAGCACCAAGAUC